ensembl:lncRNA
CCUCAGGUUUGUUUGUUUGCUUCUUACCCCAGUCUAAUGAGUACCCCAUAGCCCCACAUUGCCUCCAUAGACUCAGUUCCAUAAGCUGGAACUUGACUGUGACAAUAGAUGACAUCAUACACAGUGAAGACAUUCAGAAUGAGACCUUCCGACAGAUUCCUGGGCCCAGUAUCAGGAGAAGUUAUGGGGAAGGAUGAGAAAACCCAAACUGGGUUCCCAGUUGUGUAUUCUCUAUCCAUCAAGUAACAGAAGCUGGUCCAGAGGUUCCCAGGAGUUUUGCAUGGACCCAGUUGAGGGGCAGAGCCUGAAAAAAUUGCUCCUGAAUGCAUCAUCAGAGAAAGGAAGCCAUUGCCAUGAUGCUGGAGUCUUGCUGCAAAGCCAGCAUCUUCUAAGGCCUGACCUGGCUGUGUGUAUGGAGAUGGAGUGUUAACUUGGGUCACUGGACAACAUGUUAAGUUGAUCACAUUCAUUACAAUCACUGCCCCUCUCAAAUUGUCACAUAGAGAAGUCUGCAAUGGCUGAGUCUCAGUUGGUCUGAUAGUCCCUGUGCCCAAAAUGAUACAUUGAAGUCCCAACCUUGGGUACCUGUGCAGGUGACCUUAUUUGGACACAGGGUCCCUCCAGAUGUAAUCAAGUCAAGAGGAGUUUAUACUGGAUUAUAUAUAUAGAUUCUAAUGCAAUGACCAGUGUGCUUAUAAGAAGAGAGAAAUUUCCACACAGAGACAACACAGGGACAAUGCCAUGUGAAGAUGAAGGCAAAGACUGGAGUGAUGUAUCUAUAAGUCAGGAUUGCUUGCAACCACCAGGAGCUAGAAAGAGGCAAGGAAGGGUCCUGUUCUAGAGCCUUUGGAGGAAGCAGGCUUUGCAGACACUAUUCUCUCCCAAACUGAGAGAAUGCUCUCCUCAGAGAGCUUCAGUUGUGUUAAGCAAGUUUGUGCUACUUUGUUAGAGCAGCCCCAGCAAGCCACAGUCCCUUAAGAGCCCUCAAAGAAUAACCAGGGAGAUGCAUCAAUGGAUAAACUAGAAAUGUCUGAGAUUUUUUGGGGGGAUUAAUUUUUUUCCAGGCUCAUGAAUGUCUAGAGACCUGUAUGAUCUGGUAAAUAUAAUUGUAUUUCCAGAAGCCAUGAUAUAACCUUACCAAGUGCAUGAGGUCCUGGUGCCCUGAGGUUGGGAGAUCUACACUGCUUUGAGUAUUCCUUCGAAAGGGCAGCCUCCCCAUGCUUCACUUCACUCAGAAAAAACCAGGAUUGCGUCACCUACCACUUACCUUUCAAGGGCAUCAUGAAGAUCUGUAUCUCUGUAAUGUUUGUCCAAGAAAUUGGAGCUUGGUGGAGGAUUGUCACUGGCUAAAUAUAAAGUAUGUUAUUAUCCCCCCAAACCUUGGCAAUUCUUUGUCACUUUCCUUUUGAAAAGAAAAUUGUACUCACCCAAAGCAUUUCAUUACCACCUGAACUGUCUGUUUGAUAUAAAUUUAGAAACCUAAAUUUAUAAAACCCCACAGCCAAAUGCAUUAGAGUUAGGAGCCCAGGGCACCUGUAAUAUUGUUAUUCCAAAAAAUAAAGUUUGGCAUGUGGCCUUGCUUGACUAGUCA